CCUACGGGGGGCAGCAGUAGGGAGUUUUCGGCAAUGGGGGGAACCCUGACCGAGCAACGCCGCGUGAGUGAUGACGGUCUUCGGAUUGUAAAGCUCUGUUGUAGGGGACGAAUGAGUGAUCGAGGAAAUGCGGUCGCUUUGACGGUACUCUACCAGAAAGCCACGGCUAACUACGUGCCAGCAGCCGCGGUAAUACGUAGGUGGCAAGCGUUAUCCGGAAUUAUUGGGCGUAAAGAGUGAGCAGGCGGUUGUCUAAGUCUGGAGUCAAAUGCUGU
rnacentral:rRNA from 1 species